GAUGAACGCUGGCGGCGUGCCUAAUACAUGCAAGUCGAGCGAAGCGGGGACGGGUGAGUAACACGUGGAGAACAUCCUAUAAGACUGGGAUAACUUAGGGAAACCGGUGCUAAAACGGACACUUUGAGCUGGAUCGGCGCGGCAUUAGCUAGUUGGUAAGGUAACGGCUUACCAAGGCAACGAUGCAUAGCCGACCUGAGAGGGGGAUCGGCCACACUGGAACUGAGACACGGUCCAGACUCCUACGGGAGGCAGCAGUAGGGAAUCUUCCGCAAUGGGCGAAAGCCUGACGGAGCAACGCCGCGUGAGUGAUGAAGGUCUUCGGGUCGUAAAACUCUGUUAGUAGGGAAGCGGUACCUAAUCAGAAAGCCACGGCUAACUACGUGCCAGCCGCCGCGGUAAUUC
rnacentral:rRNA from 1 species